rnacentral:rRNA from 1 species
CCUACGGGUGGCAGCAGUGAGGAAUAUUGGUCAAUGGACGAGAGUCUGAACCAGCCAAGUAGCGUGAAGGAUGACUGCCCUAUGGGUUGUAAACUUCUUUUAUAUGGGAAUAAAAUGUUCCACGUGUGGGCUUUUGUAUGUACCAUAUGAAUAAGGAUCGGCUAACUCCGUGCCAGCAGCCGCGGUAAUACGGAGGAUCCGAGCGUUAUCCGGAUUUAUUGGGUUUAAAGGGAGCGUAGGUGGAUUGUUAAGUCAGUUGUGAAAGUUUGCGGCUCAACCGUAAAAUUGCAGUUGAAACUGGCAGUCUUGAGUAAAGUAGAGGUGGGCGGAAUUCGUGGUGUAGCGGUGAAAUGCUGAGAUAUCACGAAGAACUCCGAUUGCGAAGGCAGCUCACUGGACUGCAACUGACACUGAGGCUCGAAAGUGUGGGUAUCAAACAGGAUUAGAUACCCGAGUAGUC